GACGAACGCUGGCGGCGUGCCUAAUACAUGCAAGUCGAACGCAGUGGGGACGGGUGAGUAACACGUGGGUAACCUCCCAUCAGAGGGGAUAACACUUGGAAACAGGUGCUAAACCGAUACUGAUGGAUGAACCCGCGGUGCAUUAGCUAGUUGGUGAGGUAACGGCUCACCAAGGCCACGAUGCAUAGCCGACCGGGUGGGGUGAUCGGCCACACUGGUACUGAGAAACGCCCCAGACUCCUACGGGAGGCAGCAGUAGGAAAUCUUCGGAAUUGGACGAAAGUCUGACCUAGCAACGCCGCUUGAGUGAAGAAGGUUUUCGGAUCGUAAAACUCUGUUGUUAGAGAAGCGGUAUCUAACCAGAAAGCCACGGCUAACUACGUGCCAGCAGCCGCGGUAAUUC
rnacentral:rRNA from 1 species